AUGUCCGCACAUCUGCAAUGGAUGGUCGUUCGGAACUGCUCCAUUUUCUUGAUCAAGAGGAAUAAGCAGACGUAAAGCAAGGAGCCAAAUAAUCUGAUGGUCUGAAACUCCUUCUGCUACAAUUUGCUAAUUCACUGCAAGACUGUCAGAGUGGAGCCCAUGUCUAAUGGCAAAGAGGUGGUGGUAGUAAUGAAACGCAGAUCCAGUCAGUGAAAACCUGCCCCUUCUGACGUGAGGACCACCAUCAACAAGAAUGCUCGGGCUACUCUCAUCAGCAUCAGGCACAAGAUGGAAAGAACAAGUACCGCCCUAAUCUGCGUAUGGCGGCCAUCCACAGUGCCAGUGCCAUCCUUCAAAUACAGAAGCCUGUGGUGGUGAAAAGGAAACAGGCCCACCCCACCAAGAGCUCCUGA
rnacentral:lncRNA from 1 species